GUCAGGUGAUUUGAAUCGAUAACGCUGACCCUCUGUGAGGUACAAUAAUAGCAUGUUAGAGUUCUGAUGAUG
ensembl:snoRNA SNORD28 Small nucleolar RNA SNORD28